rnacentral:misc_RNA from 1 species
GAUGAAGAACGUAGCGAAAUGCGAUAAGUAAUGUGAAUUGCAGAAUUCAGUGAAUCAUCGAAUCUUUGAACGCACCUUGCGCCCUUUGGUAUUCCGAGGGGCAUGCCUGUUUGAGUGUCAUUAAAUACCAUCAACCCUCUUUUGACUUCGGUCUCGAGAGUGGCUUGGAAGUGGAGGUCUGCUGGAGCCUAACGGAGCCAGCUCCUCUUAAAUGUAUUAGCGGAUUUCCCUUGCGGGAUCGCGUCUCCGAUGUGAUAAUUUCUACGUCGUUGACCAUCUCGGGGCUGACCUAGUCAGUUUCAAUAGGAGUCUGCUUCUAACCGUCUCUUGACCGAGACUAGCGACUUGUGCGCUAACUUUUGACUUGACCUCAAAUCAGGUAGGACUACCCGCUGAACUUAAGCAUAUCAAUAAGCGGAGGA